GGGGGAUGGAUGGGCACUGAGUCUGGAGCCCGUCUGGCCUCCUCCAGCUGUUUUAAUGGGCUCUUGGAUGGUGAUACAUGAAAGGCCAGCUAUUCUAGAUACCUGCUGCAUUUAAAUAUUUGAUCUCCACACACCGACUGGGUCAUCAGUUAGCAUUUUAUUCCUCUCCCCUUUCCACAUUAAAGCCUCUUAAAAUGAGACCCGAAGUCCUAAAGGGACCAUCUGUCGUGGCUAGAUGGGGGUAGUCUUCUGUACCUGUUCCCCCCCAAAAGGUUGAAUAUAGAGAGCUCCAGUGUGAAUGGGCCAGUAGCACCAGGUCAGGUUGAAUAUAGAGAGCUCCAGUGUGAAUGGGCCAGUAGCACCAGGUCAGGUUGAAUAUAGAGAGCUCCAGUGUGAAUGGGCCAGUAGAACCAGGUCAGGUUGAAUAUUGAGAGCUCCAGUGUGAAUGGGCCAGUAGGACCAGGUCAGGUUGAAUAUUGAGAGCUCCAGUGUGAAUGGGCCAGUAGGACCAGGUCAAGUUGAAUAUAGAGAGCUCCAGUGUGAAUGGGCCAGUAGGACCAGGUCAGGUUGAAUAUUGAGAGCUCCAGUGUGAAUG